GCGGAAGCUACUGCUAUUGGGAUUCGAUUAAGCCAUGCAAGUCGAAUGAAUUCAUAUUCAUGGCAUACGGCUCAGUAACACGUGGAUAACUUACCCUUAGGACUGGGAUAACUUUGGGAAACUGAAGAUAAUACCGGAUAUUAAGCUAUGCCUGCAAUGGUUUGCUUAUGAAACGUUUUUCGCCUAAGGAUAGAUCUGCGGCUGAUUAGGUCGUUGGUGGGGUAAAGGCCCACCAAGCCGAUGAUCGGUACGGGUUGUGAGAGCAAGAGCCCGGAGAUGGAACCUGAGACAAGGUUCCAGACCCUACGGGGUGCAGCAGGCGCGAAACCUCCACAAUGUACGAAAGUGCGAUGGGGGGAUCCCAAGUGCUAUUCUUAACAGAAUAGCUUUUCAUUAGUGUAAAAAGCUUUUAGAAUC
rnacentral:rRNA from 1 species